GACGAACGCUGGCGGCGUGCUUAACACAUGCAAGUCGAACGGAAAGGCCCUGCUUUUGUGGGGUGCUCGAGUGGCGAACGGGUGAGUAACACGUGAGUAACCUGCCCUUGACUUUGGGAUAACUUCAGGAAACUGGGGCUAAUACCGGAUAGGAGCUCCUGCUGCAUGGUGGGGGUUGGAAAGUUUCGGCGGUUGGGGAUGGACUCGCGGCUUAUCAGCUUGUUGGUGGGGUAGUGGCUUACCAAGGCUUUGACGGGUAGCCGGCCUGAGAGGGCGACCGGCCACACUGGGACUGAGACACGGCCCAGACUCCUACGGGAGGCAGCAGUGGGGAAUAUUGCACAAUGGGCGGAAGCCUGAUGCAGCAACGCCGCGUGCGGGAUGACGGCCUUCGGGUUGUAAACCGCUUUCGCCUGUGACGAAGCGUGAGUGACGGUAAUGGGUAAAGAAGCACCGGCGAACUACGG
rnacentral:rRNA from 1 species